AGAGUUUGAUUCUGGCUCAGGAUGAACGCUGGCGGCAGGCUUAAUACAUGCAAGUCGAGCGGUAAGGUCCGAAGUGGCAACACGGAGGAUACACGAGUGGCGCACGGGUGCGUAACGCGUAUGCAACCUGCCCCCGACCGGGACAAAACAGCUGGAAACGGCUGCUAAUAUCCCAUGGUCAUGCGGAAGGGCAUCCUUCUUCAUGUAAAGAUUCAUUGGUCGGGGAUGGGCAUGCGUAUUAUUAGGUAGUUGGCGGGGUAACGGCCCACCAAGCCGACGAUGAUUAGGGGUCCUGAGAGGGUUAACCCCCACACUGGAACUGAGACACGGUCCAGACUCCUACGGGAGGCAGCAGUAGGGAAUAUUGGGCAAUGGGAGCAAUCCUGACCCAGCCAUGCCGCCGUGAAGGAAGACGGCCCUAUGGGUUGUAAACUUCUUUUGCCGCAGAGUAAACCCGGUCACGAGUGGUCGGUUGAGAGUAUGCGGCGAAUAAGUAUCGGCUAACUCCGUGCCAGCCGCCGC
rnacentral:rRNA from 1 species